UACGUAGGUGGCAAGCGUUGUCCGGAAUCACUGGGCGUAAAGCGCGCGCAGGCGGCGAUCUACGUCUGGGGUGAAAGCCCGGAGCUCAACUCCGGGACUGCCUUGGAUACGGGAUCGCUUGAGGAUUGGAGAGGCAAGGGGAAUUCCACGUGUAGCGGUGAAAUGCGUAGAUAUGUGGAGGAACACCUGUGGCGAAGGCGCCUUGCCGGCCAAUUUCUGACGCUGAGGCGCGAAAGCGUGGGGAGCAAACAGG
rnacentral:rRNA from 1 species